UGGGGAACCGUCUAAACAUGCAAGUCGAGCGGUAGAGAGGUGCUUGCACCUCUUGAGAGCGGCGGACGGGUGAGUAAAGCCUAGGAAUCUGCCUGGUAGUGGGGGAUAACGCUCGGAAACGGACGCUAAUACCGCAUACGUCCUACGGGAGAAAGCAGGGGACCUUCGGGCCUUGCGCUAUCAGAUGAGCCUAGGUCGGAUUAGCUAGUUGGUGAGGUAAUGGCUCACCAAGGCGACGAUCCGUAACUGGUCUGAGAGGAUGAUCAGUCACACUGGAACUGAGACACGGUCCAGACUCCUACGGGAGGCAGCAGUGGGGAAUAUUGGACAAUGGGCGAAAGCCUGAUCCAGCCAUGCCGCGUGUGUGAAGAAGGUCUUCGGAUUGUAAAGCACUUUAAGUUGGGAGGAAGGGCAUUAACCUAAUACGUUAGUGUUUUGACGUUACCGACAGAAUAAGCACCGGCUAACUCUGUGCCAGCAGCCGCGGUAAUACAGAGGGUGCAAGCGUUAAUCGGAAUUACUGGGCGUAAAGCGCGCGUAGGUGGUUCGUUAAGUUGGAUGUGAAAUCCCCGGGCUCAACCUGGGAACUGCAUUCAAAACUGUCGAGCUAGAGUAUGGUAGAGGGUGGUGGAAUUUCCUGUGUAGCGGUGAAAUGCGUAGAUAUAGGAAGGAACACCAGUGGCGAAGGCGACCACCUGGACUGAUACUGACACUGAGGUGCGAAAGCGUGGGGAGCAAACAGGAUUAGAUACCCUGGUAGUCCACGCCGUAAACGAUGUCAACUAGCCGUUGGGAGCCUUGAGCUCUUAGUGGCGCAGCUAACGCAUUAGUUUGACCGCCUGGGGAGUACGGCCGCAGGUUAAAACUCAAAUGAAUUGACGGGGGCCCGCACAAGCGUGGAGCAUGUGGUUUAUUUCGAAGCAACGCGAAGAACCUUACAAGGCCUUGACAUUCCAUGAACUUUCAGAGAUGGAUUGGUGCCUUCGGGAACAUUGAAAACAGGUGCUGCAUGCUGUCGUCGCUCGUGUCGUGGAUGUUGGGUUAAGUCCGUACGAGCGCAACCUGUCCUUAUUAACUCGCACGUUAUGGUGGGCACCUCAAGGAGACUGCC
rnacentral:rRNA from 1 species